ACUGCUGAUCCUUUCGUGAAAGUUCGUACGUCAAAUUUCGUUGCCGAUUAGCUACGGAAAUUGAAAAUCAAGGCAUUGGUUUUGUUUAACUUAACCUAUAUUGCAGAUUUUAUUUGCUUUGCUUGCUUCCUAAUAAUUGAUUUAAUUAUCAACAAUUAUAUCAAAUUUGCGACUAUUUGAGUGAAAAUUCAUAGUAUAUAGUGUUGAGUGUUUACUCCAUUAUCUAUACAAUCCAUAUCUGUGCUGGUUUUGGGCUCAAAAACAAACAAUUUCGUGUUUGAGUUUCAUUACCUUUCAAUAAACUUGCCAGUGUUUCUUAGUGCAUAACAUAGAGUAAUAAAAAGUAUUUUUAAUAUUCAUUUCUCUAUGGUGCAUAAUUUCCUUCCACUUAAACCAAUAUUUGCACUUAUCUGUUGCUGUUUGUUAGACAAUUAUGGCAUCACUAAGUCAACAAAAUGCAAUCUCUAAAGUUUGUGAUAAGGAAUUUUCAAGCACAUCUACCAGAAACAGGCAUUGGAAAAAGUUUCACCCUGAAUUUGUUGGGAAGGAAUAAAUAAAACACAUUAUAUGUCCAAUGUGUACUAAUGAUAUCCAGACAUUUUCAUAUUUUAACUGUUUAAACAAACAUUUGCUUAAUAUUCACCAUAUAAUUGUCAAAGAAUCAAUUUUAAAUUUUAGGAAUUUUGAAGAAUUCACAUCUUGGAGGGCACAAGAUAAUAGGGAAGUAGAUUAUGCUUGUCAGACCCAAAACAAGUUUAAGAAUGGGGAAGAACACAUAUUUUACAAUUGCAACUCGGAGCGAUAUCAGAGGAUUUAAUAGAGCGUGCAAAGUGAGAAGUCUGGGGGAAGCAUUUGCAUUCAAGGAACAUGUCAACAAGACCAAACUCAAAUAGCUAUCAGCAUAAAAAUGUAAUAGAAGCCAGAGGAGCGAGUUUGUUAUAGGUUCCCCAACUGUGAUUGAAGAGGAAGAGGAUAAUGUUUUAUUUGUUGAUCAACCCACAACUAGCAAUUAUCAGGAGGAUGUAAACCAUUUUAUUCAGGAGAGUUCAAAAAUGAAA